CAGCAGCCGCGGUAAUACGAAGGGGGCUAGCGUUGUUCGGAUUUACUGGGCGUAAAGCGCACGUAGGCGGACAUUUAAGUCAGGGGUGAAAUCCCAGAGCUCAACUCUGGAACUGCCUUUGAUACUGGGUGUCUGGAGUAUGGAAGAGGUAAGUGGAAUUCCGAGUGUAGAGGUGAAAUUCGUAGAUAUUCGGAGGAACACCAGUGGCGAAGGCGGCUUACUGGUCCAUUACUGACGUUGAGGUGCGAAAGCGUGGGGAGCAAACAGGAUUAGAUACCCCAGUAGUCCCUGUCUCUUAUAA
rnacentral:rRNA from 1 species